rnacentral:rRNA from 1 species
GGGUCAGUAGGUUGGUCGUGCCACCGGUACGUACUGGUCUCACUGAUUCCUCCUUCCUGAAGAACCGUAAUGCCAUUAAUCUGGUGUUGCGGGGAAACAGGACUGUUACUUUGAAAAAAUUAGAGUGUUUAAAGCAAGCUAGCGCUUGAAUACAUUAGCAUGGAAUAAUGAAAUAGGACGAUCGAUCCUAUUUUGUUGGUUUCUAGGAUUGACGUA